rnacentral:rRNA from 1 species
CUGGCGGCAGGCCUUAUACAUGCAAGUCGAGCGCAUCCUUCGGGAUGAGCGGCGGACGGGUGAGUAACGCGUGGGAAUGUGCCCUUCUCUACGGAAUAGCCACUGGAAACGGUGAGUAAUACCGUAUACGCCCUUAGGGGGAAAGAUUUAUCGGAGAAGGAUCAGCCCGCGUUAGAUUAGGUAGUUGGUGGGGUAACAGCCUACCAAGCCUACGAUCUAUAGCUGGUUUUAGAGGAUGAUCAGCCACACUGGGACUGAGACACGGCCCAGACUCCUACGGGAGGCAGCAGUAGGGAAUCUUGGACAAUGGGGGCAACCCUGAUCCAGCCAUGCCGCGUGAGUGAAGAAGGCCCUAGGGUCGUAAAGCUCUUUCGCCUGUGAUGAUAAUGACAGUAGCAGGUAAAGAAACCCCGGCUAACUCCGUGCCAGCAGCCGCGGUAAUACGGAGGGGGUUAGCGUUGUUCGGAAUUACUGGGCGUAAAGCGCGCGUAGGCGGAUUGGAAAGUUGGGGGUGAAAUCCCGGGGCUCAACCCCGGAACUGCCUUCAAAACUCCCAGUCUAGAGUUCGAGAGAGGUGAGUGGAAUUCCGAGUGUAGAGGUGAAAUUCGUAGAUAUUCGGAAGAACACCAGUGGCGAAGGCGGCUCACUGGCUCGAUACUGACGCUGAGGUGCGAAAGUGUGGGGAGCAAACAGGAUUAGAUACCCUGGUAGUCCACACCGUAAACGAUGAAUGCCAGUCGUCGGAUAGUAUACUAUUCGGUGACACACCUAACGGAUUAAGCAUUCCGCCUGGGGAGUACGGUC